rnacentral:rRNA from 1 species
AAGUCGAACGAGGGCUUCGGCCCUAGUGGCGCACGGGUGAGUAACGCGUGGGAACCUGCCCUGUGGUACGGAAUAACUCCGGGAAACUGGAGCUAAUACCGUAUGCGUCCUGCGGGACAAAGAUUUAUCGCCAUGGGAUGGGCCCGCGUAGGAUUAGCUUGUUGGUGGGGUAACGGCCUACCAAGGCAACGAUCCUUAGCUGGUCUGAGAGGAUGAUCAGCCACACUGGGACUGAGACACGGCCCAG